GGGGGCGUCAAGGAUUUCGACGGGGGUAGUAGGUGCUCAAGAAGCGAGUCGAGGGACCUGGGGCCUCGUUAAAACCUGGGAUUAAAUAUAAACGCAAACGAUAAUUUAGCUUUAGCUGCUUAAUAGCAGCUCGUCAGCCUAAGAGUCCCACGGCUUAGAGUCUGGCGUCGACAGUGGGGUCCCGAGCCUAUGAAAGCUUUGACAUAGGAACGGAAUUUAUGAAGCUACUGAAGUCUAUAUCCUGUUAGUGGGAGAUAGAUGGAGGGAAUGUUAAAACACUAACUGCACUCGGAGAUGCUUGUGUGUCUAUGCUUUCGGACAGGGGUUCGAUUCCCCUCGCCUCCACCA
rnacentral:tmRNA from 1 species